rnacentral:lncRNA from 10 species
CGAAUUAAGCCAGUAGUGGAAGAGUGAUUAGAGAGCAGCAAAGAAGAAAAGUUUGCUCACUGAUUAUUUCAGAUGCAGUUCCUGAGAUUGACUGGGACACUAAUUGGAGAAUCAUUAAAUGCAAAGGCCAAUGAAUCUCUACAACUAUGUGGUGUUACAGAAGUGAUGUGAGCUGCCCUGGCAGAGGGACAAGAAGGAAAGUGAAUACUGUUUCAGGAGUCAUCAGCAAGUUGCAUCCAUUAAACAAAGAAAAGUCAUUCAACCAGCCAUUGGGAGACAGCAUGGUCCCCACUUGGAUUACUGUAAUUAUUGAAAAUAGCAGCUGAUAUGUACCAAUAUACAACUGAAGACUUGCUAUGACCCAGGAACUCUGGGAAGCAUGUUAUGUAAUUGCAUCUGCCUUCCUUGCUGGACUCUAAGCUCCUUGAGGAUAAAGAUGUAUCCAUUGUGUCCAUUUCUACAUUCUCCAAGCCUAGCAGAGGACCAAGAACUAAGUGCUCAAAAAUAUGUGUUGAAUAAAUUAAGAAUAUCACAAGGAAUCCUCUGAAAAAUCCAGAGAUAAGUGCCAUCAUCAUCCUUAUUUUAUAGAUGACAAACUUGAAAUUUGAAUCAAGAACACACAGCCUGCGAGUGACAAACAACAAUCCAAACCAACAAUCAGAUUCCCAAACUUGAAAACUCAUCUACUCUGCCUCACUGAUUGGUUUGUUUGCCCAGUUUCACCAUAAAAGAGUAGGGAAGAUGGGGAGUGAGGAGAGAGACACAAGGAAAAAUAUCCCUUGCUUGAGACACCCUGUUCUUUCUUACUAACUUGCCACACAUUCUUUAAGGCUUAUUUCCAGUCCCAAAUUCUCCAAAAAAAAAUCUUUUUGGACCAUACAGAUCUUUUUGUUUCGUCUGAAUACCAGCAGCUCUUAAUAUGCACUGAAAAGAAUUUAAAAGGCACCCCAGCUCUCCUGCAUAGUUCAUUCUUGUUAGGUGUAUGGAGUCUCUGAACUUCCCAAAAGCAUGAUAAGGUCCUAGGGGCAAGUUACCCAAUUAUUUUCCCCAUUUGCAGAACAGCACACAGCACAAAACUGAACACAUGGUUUAGGUUCUCUGUAACUACGUAGAAGCUGAUCUAGGUCAGAUCAGCUAGAGUGACUAGUCAAUGAUAUAUAUAAUACCAGUAUCAGACCAGGAAUAUCCUUCCUCUUCUCAUUUGUAAAAUUCUUUCAAAUAUCACCCAUUAAAACUAUGGACUUCUUCACCCUUUUUGUGUUCAUUUAUCUGAAGUGCUAGACAAGGCAGGAGAAUGCCCUGGCCAAAGAAAAUUAGAGGAAGAAAAGGUUAUGAGAUUUUUGCUUCCUCCCAUGCACACUUUGCUUAAUUCAGGGAGCAUUUGGUUUUUAUUCCAUGAGAGACCAAGGACGCCCACUUCAAAAACGACACAAUGAUUAUGGCCAGCAAAAUUCCUACAAAAGAGAACAUAAAGAAGCUUCAGAGACAUUUAAUUGAUCUACAGUAAGAAUGGGCCAGGAUUUUUACACUCUGGAAGUAGUAGGUAGAACUGUAGUUAAAAUUAUUUAUUUCAUUACAAGAAUAGUACAAGGCUGUCUUUAUGCCAGAGCAAUUAUCCAGUUAAUUGCCCUAGAAUGAGUACAACCCAGUUUCCAGAUACAUAACACACAUUUUGCCAAAUGUGACUUGACUUAUGCCAGCAGCCUGCAACAGUUUUAAUCUCAAAAGUUGCCAGGGAAGUUAAAGGACACCCACGGGAGCCUGGGGCAGGCCCAAGACUGCACAGCAGGAAGCACAUGGAAGGGGAAGGAAGAAAAGGAAUGACUAUCAGCUGCUGGGACCAAGGAGUCCAGGAAAGUAGAACAAGGAAGAGAUGUGAGCAGAGGAAAACAAGCAGAAGAAAGGAAAAAAUAAAUAAAUGUGGUGAACAACAAUGGCCUUCCUGUUGGCAUUAACGGAAUAAAGUAUGUUUUGGG